rnacentral:rRNA from 1 species
GAGUUUGAUCCUGGCUCAGGAUGAACGCCGGCGGUGUGCCUAAUACAUGCAAGUCGUACGCACUGGCCCAACUGAUUGAUGGUGCUUGCACCUGAUUGACGAUGGAUCACCAGUGAGUGGGCGGACGGGUGAGUAACACGUAGGUAACCUGCCCCGGAGCGGGGAUAACAUUUGGAAACAGAUGCUAAUACCGCAUAACAACAAAGGCCACAUGGCUUUUGUUUGAAAGAUGGCUUUGGCCAUCACUCUGGGAUGGACCUGCGGUGCAUUAGCUAGUUGGUAAGGUAACGGCUUACCAAGGCGAUGAUGCAUAGCCGAGUUGAGAGACUGAUCGGCCACAAUGGAACUGAGACACGGUCCAUACUCCUACGGGAGGCAGCAGUAGGGAAUCUUCCACAAUGGGCGCAAGCCUGAUGGAGCAACACCGCGUGAGUGAAGAAGGUUUCGGCUCGUAAAGCUCUGUUGUUGGAGAAGAACGUGCGUGAGAGU